rnacentral:lncRNA from 1 species
CAAAAGCUGAGCGCUGUUUAAACCUUCUCCGCUUGUCCUUUGAGUUUCUGGAGCCUUCCAACUCUAGUGAGGUUUUCACAGCUCCAUUCCUCUGCUCAAAGUAUUUCUCUUCAUGUGAUUUAUUCCUGGCACCAUUGGCUCUUCGUGAUUACUCAGAGCCAAGGAGCCUAACAGAGUUCUGCUUCCUCCAGUGUUUCACUUCUAUCUGAUCAGAAUUGUAGAACAUGAUCCCCUGCACAAGAAAACAGCCUAUUUCUAAAGGCUUUUCUGAGAACCUCUUACAUGUAAGAUCCUGCUCAGCAUGAAAACAGGGCAUCAUUAUCUAUCAGGGAAGAAUGCCACAGACCUGCAGGCUGAGAAACGAAUGCAGAAGGGUUAUACCAGGAUGCUUUUACAUUUUGGAUGGCUGUACAGGAGUGCCUCUUGAGCUGCCUGAGGGACUGCUGGAUCAUCUUCUUUCAGGCCAGAAUGAGCACAAGGUUGGAGUCGAUGGGGAGGACUGAAGACAACUGCUGGGGUCAAGGUCUCCUCGCAUGUUCCCUGUUGUGUCCCCUGCUGUGUCUCCUCUCUUGGGCAUCUUCACGUGUUCCUUCCUGUUUCUCCUCGCCUGAUGGCUGCUGCCUUUUCUCAGACAGCUUUCAGCAGUGGCACCACAUGCUCCUCUGACUAGCUGAAGUUUUGGCACAUGUUGGGACAUUUCUAUCCGUUUCAGAGCUGAUUGCAACCAGCCGUGACAGACAUAGGGCAGUUCGUGGAACUCCUUGGCACAGAUCACCCCUGCAGCCAUCAGCUAUUGAAACUCUGCCGUUUACGCCUAAUACAGUGCUUUCAUAGCAUGUUUUCACAGUUCUACUAGGUCAGGACUGUCAUGGGAUGAACUUCAUAAACAUCUUCUUAUAGCAUGCGCAGACUGAUUAGGGAAUAAUAAACAUUUUUCCAGUGUAUAUUUGUAUAUAAGU